rnacentral:rRNA from 2 species
UACGUAGGUGGCAAGCGUUGUCCGGAAUCACUGGGCGUAAAGCGCGCGCAGGCGGCGAUCUACGUCUGGGGUGAAAGCCCGGAGCUCAACUCCGGGACUGCCUUGGAUACGGGAUCGCUUGAGAAUUGGAGAGGCAAGGGGAAUUCCACGUGUAGCGGUGAAAUGCGUAGAUAUGUGGAGGAACACCUGUGGCGAAGGCGCCUUGCUGGCCAAUUUCUGACGCUGAGGCGCGAAAGCGUGGGGAGCAAACAGG